rnacentral:rRNA from 1 species
UCCUGGCUCAGAUUGAACGCUGGCGGCAGGCCUAACACAUGCAAGUCGAGCGGUAGCAGGAAGUGCUUGCACUUCGCUGACGAGCGGCGGACGGGUGCGUAACACGUAGGAAUCUGCCCGGUAGUGGGGGAUAGCCCGGAGAAAUUCGGAUUAAUACCGCAUACGCCCUAAGGGGGAAAGCAGGGGAUCGGUUCGCCGACCUUGCGCUAUCGGAUGAGCCUGCGUCGGAUUAGCUUGUUGGUGGGGUAAAAGCCUACCAAGGCAACGAUCCAUAGCUGGUCUGAGAGGAUGAUCAGCCACACUGGGACUGAGACACGGCCCAGACUCCUACGGGAGGCAGCAGUGGGGAAUAUUGCACAAUGGGCGAAAGCCUGAUGCAGCCAUGCCGCGUGUGUGAAGAAGGCCCUAGGGUUGUAAAGCACUUUCAGUGGGGAGGAAAAGUUGAAGGUUAAUACCCUUCAGCUGUGACGUUACCCACAGAAGAAGCACCGGCUAACUCCGUGCCAGCAGCCGCGGUAAUACGGAGGGUGCGAGCGUUAAUCGGAAUUACUGGGCGUAAAGCGUGCGUAGGCGGCUUUUUAAGUUGGAUGUGAAAGCCCCGGGCUCAACCUGGGAACUGCAUCCAAAACUGGAAGGCUCGAGUGCGAGAGAGGAGUGUGGAAUUUCCUGUGUAGCGGUGAAAUGCGUAGAUAUAGGAAGGAACACCAGUGGCGAAGGCGACACUCUGGCUUGACACUGACGCUGAGGUACGAAAAGCGUGGGGAGCAACAGGAUUAGAUACCCUGGUAGUCCACGCCGUAAACGAUGUCUACUAGUUGUCGGUGGUCUUGUACUGCUGGUAACGCAGCU